CUGCCCGUUUUAGAAAGACUGAUCAUUUUGUUAUUCUAUCUCACUAUUUUUUACUCUUCCAGCAUAGUGUUUUCAGUAAAACUAUCAGCGGAGAUGAUCAGUGUGGGAACAAUUCAACCGACUUUCAAUUUCGAUUCUAAAUCGGUCUCAUGAACAUAAGAUGCCGCCUAACAAUCACUUGACCGACCUACAAUCGGCUA
rnacentral:lncRNA from 1 species